CGCCGCGCGCCGGCCCAAGUGGCCUCCGCAGCCCGGGGGCUCCGGCCCCGCCUCGCUCUCCCUCACCCUGCGGCCGCCCUCCCGCCCGGGGUGCUCCCGGAGGCCCAGACACGCGGCGAGACGGAAGCGGAGGCGCGAGUGCGCAGAACAGCCUUUACUCGGGCGCCUAGAAGCGGAGCGCCUCCUCCGCGGUGCGGUACUGAUUCAGCUGGAUCUGGACCUCCACCGUCAGCGGCUCCGGCUGGUAGUCGCUGUCGAAGCUCGGCAUCUGCGGUUUUGACUUUUCUGAGAAAAUUAAAACAUAAGCAAUGAGUCCGGAGCGAUGUGGGGACUGCGGUCUCCAAGCACGGAACACAUCCCCAAAACCCAAGUCCAGGGAGGCACAACUCUGAAUUGGAUCCAGCUCUGUUAAUAGAGUAGGGAAUAGAAUUGCGUUUAAUUGGAGCAUUUAAUGAGUCACAGCUGUUUGAGUUACAAGAAAAAUUAGCUGUUUCUUUCUUAGACCAUUUUAAGUUGAACUCUGACGAACUAUGCAUGUACAGUCUUGGGUAUUUGACAAUUAUUUUCUUUAAAAUGAAGUAAAUAUGGCACUUUGGGGAAAACACGGGACUGAAAGCAUUUUGAUAAAUUUAUAACAUUUGAACUUUCAGGUAGAAAUUAGAAUUUUGGAACACUGCCACCAUGAACUCAAGGUUCCCAAUACUCCAAGUCUUUUCUAAUGAUGUGGGUGGUGAUAUUUAAGAACGUGACUUUUGGGGCUGGGGUUGUGGCUUGGCUGUAGAGCGCUUGCCUAACGUGUGAGGCACUGGUUUCAAUCCUCAGCCCCACAUAAAAAUAAAUAAAAUAAAGGUAUUGUGUCCAUCUACAACUGAAAAUGCUUUUUUAAAAAACGAAUGUGACUUUUGGAUUUUUAAUGGAAUGUGUAAAUCAAUGUUUGUUAUUUUACAAGUAACCGUGUUACCAGUAGUGCAUGGUUAAAAUAUCCAUUCAAAAUGCAAAAUAAAACGGUUAUGGAGGCGCAUGCUCCGGAGGCUGAGACAGGAGGAUCAGGUUCAAAGCCAGCCUCAGCAAAAGCGAGGCACUAAGCAACCCAGUGAGACCCUGUCUCUAAAUAAAAUAUAAAAUAGGGCUGGGGAUGUAGCUCAGUGGUUGAGUGCCCCUGAGUUCAAUUCCUGGUGUGUGUGUGUGUGUGUGUGUGUGUGUAUCAAUGUACUUUAAUGACUAAUUGGAUUGAAAAAAAUCAAUAUAUAUUCAGUUUUCACUUUGUAACAAAUGUAAUAAGCUAGCUUGUCAAAUUCAUUGUAACAUCAAGGAAGAAUAUCCAUAAUUCUUUGAAAGCCUAUUAAAAUAUUCCCCUCUUUUCUAAUUAUGUGUUGGUAUGAGGUUGGAUUUUCCUCAUACACUUCAACAGCAAUAUAUCAAGAGUUUUGCUGUAGACGCAGAUAUGAGAAUCCACUGUCCUGUUAAUCCAGACAUUUAAAAGAUCUUUAAAAACAAACUUGAAAAAAAAAUUUAACUAUCACCAGGCAGCCUGCCCAUAAUCCCAGCUACUCAGGAAACUAAGGCAGGAGGAUUAGAAAUUCCAGGACAAUACUUUGCAGGAUCCUCUCUCAAAAGUAAAAAUAAAAUAAAAAGGGCUAGGGAUGUAGCUCAGAGGUACAGCACCCCAGGUUCACUCCCCAGUACUGCAGAAAAAAGUUAAACUAUCUUAUCUCCACAGAUAAGUGCCACAAAUCAUGUGCCCAUAUAUGCAUGGUCUUGAAAGCCCAAUAGUAUGAACCUCCCAAUUCAUUCUUUCUCAGAACUGUUUUGGGUCCUUUUCCUAUGAAUUUUAGAAUCUGCUUGCUGAGCUGGGUGUAUUGGCACACAUCUGUAAUUCCAGCAACUCAGGAGGCUGAGGCAGGAGGAUCACAGGUUUAAGGUCAGUCUCCACAAGUUCAUUGAGAUCCUUUCUCAAAAACAAAAUACAACAAGGGCUGGGGAUGUAGCUCAGUGGUAAAGUGCCCCUUGAUUCAAUCUCUAAUAUUGGUGGUGAGGGGCAAUACUUAAGUUUUAAAAAAAAAUCUGCUUGCUGAUUUCUAUAAACCAUAGACUUGGCAGGAUCAUUCCAUUAUGUGGAAUCUAUAGAUCAUUUGAGAAGAACCUACAUCUUAACAAUAUUUGAAUCUCCUAAUCCCUGCUCAUAGUAUACCUCUCCAUUGAUAUAGAUCUUUAAUUUCUGUUCACAAUGUUUUCUAGUUUUCAGUGAACAGGACUUCCACAUCUUUUGUCACAUUUAUUCCUAUAUCAUAUUUUUCAAUGCUAUUUCUUCUUUGACCCACAGGUUAUUUAGAAGUAUGUUGCUUAGUUUCUAAAAAAUUUGGGAUUUCUUGGAUCAGGAUUUUACAGUUUCAGUUUUCAUCUUCCCCCCACCCCACCCCCCAUUUUAUAGGAUUUUGCAGUAUUGUCCAGGCUGGUGUUGAAAUCCUGGACUCAAAGGAUCCUCUCACCUCAGCCUCCCCAGUGCUGGAACUACAGGCACAUACCACCAUGCCCAGCUCAAAUUUUGAAA
rnacentral:lncRNA from 1 species